UACGGAAGGCAGCAGUGGGGAAUAUUGCACAAUGGGCGCAAGCCUGAUGCAGCCAUGCCGCGUGUAUGAAGAAGGGCCUUCGGGUUGUAAAGUACUUUCAGUCGUGAGGAAGGUGUUAAGGUUAAUAACCUUAGCAAUUGACGUUAGCGACAGAAGAAGCACCGGCUAACUCCGUGCCAGCAGCCGCGGUAAUACGGAGGGUGCGAGCGUUAAUCGGAAUUACUGGGCUAAAGGGCACGCAGGCGGUUAAUUAAGUUGGAUGUGAAAUCCCCGGGCUUAACCUGGGAAUGGCAUUCAAGACUGGUUAGCUAGAGUCUUGUAGAGGGGGUAGAAUUCCAUGUGUAGCGGUGAAAUGCGUAGAGAUGUGGAGGAAUACCGGUGGCGAAGGCGGCCCCUGGGACAAGACUGACGCUCAUGUGCGAAAGCGUGGGGAGCAAACGAGGAUUAGAUACC
rnacentral:rRNA from 1 species